GGGCCAGGAAAGACCUACUUAGGAGGCCUGCGAACAUCAGAUACCAUCACCUGCAGCUCUGCUCAUCUUACAUCUUACAUCUGCAGGUCACAUCAAAUGACAUCCAGGAUCAGUCAUUGAGAUGACGCAGGUGCUUUUGAGGUCACUGGGGCACGGAUGUCACUCAGUAACAUAAGGCAGUCAGGUAAUCCAUUUCAAGCUUGACAAGAAAACUGAUCCAUCACCCAACGCUACUUACCUGACGUCGAUCCUGUGGGAGAUAAGGAGUCCACAGCCCACGGUGUUAAGUCAGGCAUCCCAGUGUCAUAGCAGUUGGACUAAAUGUGUGGCUCAGCAAUGCCCAACAUGGCAUCAUUGAAAACUGGCGAGAAACACAAG